AGCAGAAGUCUCAAGGUUUGUAGCCUUUCCAUCAAGAGAGCUGAUGCUUUUGUGUUAAGGAGACUUAUUGCCUUGAGAUGAGAGCAUUUCUAGAUUUGGAAGUUUCACAGCAGGCUUUUCUCACUGUUUGCUAUGAAUAGUUCGUAAGCCAAAAGUAAGCUUGAGGACUCACUGUAGACCCCAUUAUUUGGCAGACACUCAGUAAAUAUUAACCAAAUGAAUGCUGUCUGUACCAAAAAGGCUGGGAAGCCAUGGGUUUGUUCCUCACUGAAGGUCAUGCAGCUUCAAAUAGCAUGUAGAGCUGGGAUUUGUGCUGGGAAGACCCUUGGACUGAAGAAGAGUGGUAAAUUCCUGGUUCUACAACUUUCCUGGAGUCCACUUUCCUCUUCUGUGAACUGAAAAGGUAAAGGUAAUGCUUUCUAGCCCGGAAAUACUAUGUCUCUAGAAUGGAAAUGGAGUGGAAAACUGAGGAACAGUACUCACAGGGGUGGGCAGAGCAGUGGCAGUGAUCAAAAGGCCAGCAAGGAUAAGAAAUUUCAUUCUGAAGGAGGAGUCUGGAAUUGAAGGGUUAGGAGAUCAUUUUUAGUUUUUUCUAAGUCUUAUUCCCAUUAUAAAUAGACUGUUUAGUUAGAGGUGUUAAAUAGUGGUCAGACUAAAUUCUGUCUCUUGAUCCAGGUUUUGUAAACCUACAUCAGUGCUUUAAAAACAGUGUUUAGGGGCUUCCCUGGUGGUCCAGGGGUUAAGACUCCACGCUCCCAAUGCAUGAGGCCCGGGGUUUGAUCCCUGAUCAGGGAACUAGAUCCCACAUGCAUGCCGCAACUAAGAGUUCCCAUGCCUCAACUAAAGAUCCUGCAUGCUGCAGCGAAGAUCCCGUGUGCCACAACUACCGAAAAAUAAAAAAGAUCCCACAUGCCACAACUAAAAAGAUUCCACAUGCCGCCGUGAAGAUCCCGCAUGCAGCAACAAAGAUCCCGUGUGCCACGACUAAGGCCCAGC